UGUGAUAGGCUCAGUGGUGGAGCACUUGCCUGGCAUGCAUGAGCCCCUGAGUUUGAUCCCCAGUAGCACAA
rnacentral:tRNA from 1 species